UAUGAAUGCUGUCCUUAAGACCGAGUAACAGCAUUGUGUUCAGUUUGGUUGUUGCUCAGGAUGUGUAAUAGUUUCUCUUCAGCCAUAAGCCACGCCUGGUAGAUAUUAAUUGAGUGGAGAGAUCUUGCACCUCUUCCAGUUAUGCAUUUGUGGUUUGUCAUCUGAUUUGGAGCACUUGGAAGAUCACUGUUUUGUGUUCUACGACCCAAUUGAGAGGAUUAUGUGGAGCUAAGUUUUACCAAUCAUGUAUUUAAAAAAAUAUAUUC
rnacentral:lncRNA from 1 species